rnacentral:lncRNA from 1 species
AGGUCGGUAAGGGUUUGUAAGAAUUUCAUCUAUUUUUCCGUUUUUUUUUCAGUUAUCAUCUUCUUUGUUCGUUAUCACCUCCAUCAUUGAGUCAAACUCUUACUUUCGGUGGUUAUCAUGUUAAGGCAGGCGGUGGAGUGGGGCAAUAGAGUCAAAGCUUUCUUUUUAUCGGCGUCUAGAGAGAUAUCUCUAUCUACCACCGUUCGGAGUUGGCUUUUUGUGGUCUCUUCACCAGAGAGAUUUGCUACUCGGGAGAAGCUCUAUCAGUUUCGCGAGCUGAGAAAGUUGAUGCGUUGGAAUUGGCUUGUGCAAUCUAAGAACGACGUCAGCGCGUGGAUCUUCUAUGACGUUCGGUUGAUGGUUGCACUUCUUCUUGACAUAUAGCUCACGGCAAUAAAGAGGUGGAAAUAUUUGGAGGCGGACAGGCAGUUGACGGUAUUCUUUGGCUUCACGACGGCACUGAUCUACCUCCUAUCUUUGCUUCCUUAUCCAUAGAGAUUGGAGAUUUCUCAAGUAUGGAUCUUCGGUAGCCUCCUUUUUCUCCUUUUUCUUUAGAGGUGCCAAAGAUCUUUCUCUGUCAGUGGUUGUUCUGAUGGAUAAGGAAGAUUCAGAGUUCAUUAUUGGUGGACUAUUACUCUACUAGUAUCUGACAACCACAAAUAUUGGGUCCGAAGCUACGGGGUAUGCGGCUUGGUUGUGUAUCCUUCAGAAGUGUAGUUGGAUUCUUUUGGGUGAACUUUUUGUCCAAGUUAUCUGUUGUAAGUUGUAACCAUUAUUGAUUUCCAUUUGGAUUGAUAAAUUAAAAAAAAUGGUGUACACUAUCUCACUUGUUUUGAGUAGAGUAAACAUUUCC